UGGGGAAUCUUGCGCAAUGCGCGAAAGCGUGACGCAGCAACGCCGCGUGGGGGAAGAAGGCCUUCGGGUCGUAAACCCCUUUCAGUUGGGACGAAGGUCGGGCCGUUAAUAGCGGUUCCGUCUGACGGUACCUUCACAAGAAGCCCCGGCUAACUACGUGCCAGCAGCCGCGGUAAUACGUAGGGGGCAAGCGUUGUCCGGAAUCAUUGGGCGUAAAGAGCGUGUAGGCGGCCCGGUAAGUCCGUUGUGAAAGUCGAGGGCUCAACCCUCGAAUGCCGGCGGAUACUGUCGGGCUAGAAUCCGGAAGAGGCGAGUGGAAUUCCUGGUGUAGCGGUGAAAUGCGCAGAUAUCAGGAGGAACACCAAUGGCGAAGGCAGCUCGCUGGGACGGUAUUGACGCUGAGACGCGAAAGCGUGGGGAGCAAACAGG
rnacentral:rRNA from 1 species